GUUUCCGUAGGUGAACCUGCGGAAGGAUCAUUAAAAAAUAAUCACAGUUUUGUGAUUUUAAUAAUCAUCCUACCCCUUUGUGAAUUUGUUUUGUAAAGAAAAUUUAUGUUGUCUAUCCCUGGUGGUUUUUUGGAAAAGUUGAAAAACUUUUUCGAAUCCCUAGGGACUAGGCUUUCAUAGACCUUUUUUUAAAUUAGACUUUUUGUAUUCAUUUGUCUAAAAUUUAUUUUUAAUAAUUUAAAAACAACUUUUGACAAUGGAUCUCUUGGUUCUCGCAACGAUGAAGAACGCAGCAAAAUGCGAUAAGUAAUGUGAAUUGCAGAAUACGUGAAUCAUCAAAUCUUCGAACGCAUAUUGCACUUUUCUAGUUUACUAGAAAAGUAUGUCUGUUUGAGUAUCAGUAAAAUAUUCUCAUAAAAAACAUUGUUUUUUAUGGUUAUGAGUGUUUUACAACGAUAAACAAGUUGUUUCACUUUAAAUUGAUUUUUAAAAGCCAAUUUGGUUUUAUCUAAUAAAAUUGGAUAAAAUUUUCCCGUAAAAAGGAAUAAACUUUUCAGUUUUAAAAGAUAAAACUUUUAAUUGAGCCUAAUUAAAAGGAAAUUUAACUAAAUAACUUGAUCUCAAAUCAGAUAAGAGUACCCGCUGAACUUAAGCAUAU
rnacentral:rRNA from 1 species